ensembl:ncRNA asRNA:CR45801 antisense RNA:CR45801
CCAGCCUCCAAUUGAGAAUACAUGCCAGGGUCGUGCUCCAAGUGGAAUAGGACUGGAGCACUAACCAGACUGAAAGUAACAUCUAGCGGCAGUUGGGGGCACUGAAAAGGUUCGGCAUCCAAGCAAGCCUGCCAAGCGAGCGCCAAAUGUUUGCCAAAGCGGUAAGCAUGUCGCUGCAGUUCCUCACUCUGUCCGGCCAGCUUUAGCGAAGCUUGGCAGGAUUUGCCCAGCAGGCUACCCGCAUUAAGGAUAUUACGGCACUCCCAUUCCUCCUCCGGAUUGCCGAGAACCUGGGCAAUCGGCAUUGGCGUCAUCACGUCGUGCUCGUUGAAAUCCACUCCAACGCUGAGAGAUGGUCGCUGGAAGGUUCCUGGCUUAUAAGGCAGCGGGUUGUUCUGUUCAUCACGCUCUCCAAUGAAUUCCGACUCGGAAAAAUCUCGCACCGCCGACGAGAUCAGCUCCACCACCUCCUGGUUGCGCAGAUUAGCCAGCUCCGCACUGGAAUGGCCCAGAAGAUAGUCGCCGGUCAGCAGGCCGAUCUUGUUGCCAAACGACAUGUCGUCGUAGGUGUCCACAUCCUGCCCAGCCUGCGUGCUCGAUUGCAGAUUAACCACGCUCUAAAAUGGGACCAAGUGUAAAUAUUUUUAUAAUCUAUGAGGCAUCAGCUCGACCAAUGACAUAUUGAUGUUCGUUUCUUGAGUUUCGUCAACUAAAUUUGAGGAAAGUUAAACUCAUUUGCAUAC